CUUGAACUGGGCUUGAGCAGUGGGAAGGAUUUGGAGAGCGGAGGAAUGAAGGAGAGCAGAGAGGAGAGGCUUGGAGAUGAGGAAACUGAGUCUCAGAGAAGUCGAGGGACUGGCUCAGAGAUGUACAGCAUGGCAUUGCUGGAGCCGGCCUGGAAGACAAGCAGUCUCCCUCCAAUUGCACACUGUUUUCUCUGAGGCUCUGCAUUGUUGGAGGAAGGGUCAGAGGGGCUGGAGAGGAAGAAACAAUGCAAAUAUGAGGCAGCAGAAGGGAAAUAGAGGUACUGGGGGCUUCCAGCCUCAUGCUGCUUGCUCUCUCCUGAAUCCAUCGUUGGUCUUUCUGUCCUA
rnacentral:lncRNA from 1 species